UACGAAGGGGGCUAGCGUUGCUCGGAAUCACUGGGCGUAAAGCGCACGUAGGCGGCUUUUUAAGUCAGGGGUGAAAUCCUGGAGCUCAACUCCAGAACUGCCUUUGAUACUGGGAAGCUCGAGUCCGGGAGAGGUGAGUGGAAUUCCGAGUGUAGAGGUGAAAUUCGUAGAUAUUCGGAAGAACACCAGUGGCGAAGGCGGCUCACUGGCCCGGUACUGACGCUGAGGUGCGAAAGCGUGGGGAGCAAACAGG
rnacentral:rRNA from 1 species